GAUGAACGCUAGCUACAGGCUUAACACAUGCAAGUCGGAGGGGCAGCAUUAGAUUAGCUUGCUAAUCUAGAUGGCGACCGGCGCGACGGGUGAGUAACGCGUAUCCAACCUUCCCCUUAGUAGAGGAUACGCCCGGCGAAAGUCGGAUUAAUACUCUAUGUUGUAUUUUGAGGACAUCUGACGAAUACCAAAGAUUCAUCGGUAAGGGAUGGGGAUGCGUCUGAUUAGCCAGUUGGCGGGGUAACGGCCCACCAAGGCGACGAUCAGUAGGGGUUCUGAGAGGAAGGUCCCCCACAUUGGUACUGAGACACGGACCAAACUCC
rnacentral:rRNA from 1 species